UCAUAGUUUGGUUUGGACCAUCCCAAAUUCCAAACUAUCCUCCCUGACUUUAUCCUCUGGUAACCCACAAUGGAUCAUCUGUCCAUGAAUUUGUCCAAAUCCUUCUUGACCCUACUGGUAUUUUCAGCGGGCCCAUCGACCCUUCCCCUGAAGAAGAUCCAGUGGCAGACGGGGGCAGAACGGUGGGGCCGUAGCAUCUGAUGCGUGAUCCUACAAGGCUGCUCUUAGGCCUAACAAUUCCUGGGCUGGCUAGCCCGGGCAAGGGGCCUGAAUCUCAGCUGACUCAGCACAGCGCACAUAAUUCACAAAUGAAUUGAGAGUCACUGUUUAUA